UAGGGAAUCUUCGNGUNAAUGGACGGAAGUCUGACCGAGCAACGCCGCGUGAGUGAAGAAGGUUUUCGGAUCGUAAAGCUCUGUUGUAAGAGAAGAACGAGUGUGAGAGUGGAAAGUUCACACUGUGACGGUAUCUUACCAGAAAGGGACGGCUAACUACGUGCCAGCAGCCGCGGUAAUACGUAGGUCCCGAGCGUUGUCCGGAUUUAUUGGGCGUAAAGCGAGCGCAGGCGGUUAGAUAAGUCUGAAGUUAAAGGCUGUGGCUUAACCAUAGUACGCUUUGGAAACUGUUUAACUUGAGUGCAAGAGGGGAGAGUGGAAUUCCAUGUGUAGCGGUGAAAUGCGUAGAUAUAUGGAGGAACACCGGUGGCGAAAGCGGCUCUCUGGCUUGUAACUGACGCUGAGGCUCGAAAGCGUGGGGAGCAAACAGGAUUAGAUACCCUGGUAGUCCACGCCGUAAACGAUGAGUGCUAGGUGUUAGACCCUUUCCGGGGUUUAGUGCCGCAGCUAACGCAUUAAGCACUCCGCCUGGGGAGUACGACCGCAAGGUUG
rnacentral:rRNA from 1 species